rnacentral:rRNA from 1 species
GGCCAGACUCCUACGGGAGGCAGCAGUGGGGAAUAUUGGGCAAUGGGCGCAAGCCUGACCCAGCAACGCCGCGUGAAGGAAGAAGGCUUUCGGGUUGUAAACUUCUUUUAUUGAGGACGAAACAAAUGACGGUACUCAAUGAAUAAGCCACGGCUAACUCCGUGCCAGCAGCCGCGGUAAUACGGAGGGUGCGAGCGUUAAUCGGAAUUACUGGGCGUAAAGCGCUCGUAGGCGGUAUGUCAAGUCAAGGGUGAAAUCCCCGCGCUCAACGUGGGAACUGCCUUUGAAACUGGCAAACUGGAGUGUGUGAGAGGAUAGUGGAAUUCCAGGUGUAGGAGUGAAAUCCGUAGAUAUCUGGAGGAACAUCAGUGGCGAAGGCGACUAUCUGGCACAUAACUGACGCUGAGGAGCGAAAGCGUGGGUAGCAAACAGGAUUAGAUACCCGAGUA